CACCUGUCCCCCCUGUCAUGCAUCAUGUCUACCCUAUCAGGAAAGUAUUAAUGACAGGGUGGACAACGAUAGGGUGGACAUUUUCAGCUAAAAUUAGCAAUUGAUAAGCACAUGGGGGCCCCUCAGCCAGCAGAGUUAGCAUUAGCGAAGGUGACCUCAAAAUAAAUAUGACAAUAUUUAAAAAAAUUUUAAAAUAACAAUAUUUUUUUAUAUUUCCCCAUGAUAGGGUGGACAUGUUACGCUCGACACCAUGCAACAAGAAAGACAAUAUGAAGAAAAUUGUGAAAUUAAGGUGUAAAUACUUACUGAUAAGGGGUCGUAUGUGUCAACUAUCAUUUAAGAUCGUCAAAAUGGUGGUCGUGAUGUCACCGAUGACAUCGGCUACUGCAUUAAAGGGCCAGUUACAACAUAAUGACAGGGUGGACAAUGAUUUGAGGGACAUGUAUUAACUACUUAAUAUUUAUAUUAAAUAUCUGUUGAUAACUACUAGAAUUACCCAUUUAUGAAAGUUCUUGUCAAUAAUAAUAAGACCACAAAAAAUCAUUUUAAUUUUGUUUAAUUUAAUGACUUAUUAUACUCAUAGUUGCUCCCACUAUUGUGAGAGGGACAUGGCAAAAUCGCCUACACACACUUAAAGAAAAUAGUACAAAUUAAUAAAAAAUAACUCCAAGAUGGCAAAUAUAGUAUAGAUAUAUGUGUUAAUGAUUAUACAUUUGUAAUAAAAACUCAAAACAUAAUUAUUUUACAUUAAAUUGAAAAUAAAUGUGUGAUUCUGACUGGGACCUUGAAAGGCACUUUAUAAUGAUAAUGACUCAAAUGUAACUUCUCUCAUGAACGUUACCUGGUGUUCGCACGAGUUUGCAUCGAUGAGGAACUCGGAGCUCAGAUCUGCAUUAGAGACAAGGAAGCGAUGAACAUGUACGAACUCUUUCACAUUCGCAGCUACCUGCACCAUAACAUCUACCAUCACCGGGUAACAAAGGCUGUGGAAAGCAUGAUAGUGGACGCUCUCAGAGCAGCUAAUGAAAGGCUUUCCAUCUCUGCUGCAGUGAACGAUCCCAGUGCUUACAUGAAACUCACAGGUU